rnacentral:lncRNA from 1 species
UUCUAGCUCCUGCUGUCUUUACUCACCUUCCCUCCUUCCCACCCUGCCACCCGCCUCUCCCUGCUCAGCUGACAUUCUGCGGUCUGCCCUUGUCAAUGCACAUUUAUGGACCACCAGAGGGAUCUUCAGCAUCUUGUCCUCCUACCCACGUUCUCUGACAAAGUUUCUAUUUUACUGCCUAGGUUGUAGCUUCCCAGGAAGAAGCCAGCCCUGUUCAGAGUUGUUAUUUCACAAAAUACCAUUUGUGUCCUCACUGGAGGGAGCGGUGUCUAUCACCUUGUGGAGCCACCUUAGAAGGAAUGAGGGGUGAGAAAGAUGCAUGCUACUGAUCUGUGAUGGCGUGUCCCAAAGUAUGGAGAUGUGGCUGGCAGACAUCAUAAUCACAAAGGCAAAAUGUCAUAGACAAAGAGAUGAAGAGACCUGGAGGAUUGUCCUGUACAGCUUCUUGUUCUAGAGGUGAGGAAACCAAGGGUCAGUGAGAAAAGUAACUUUCCCAAGUCACAAAGCAAAUCAGUGACAGUGCUGAGAUAAGUCCCUAAGAUGUCUAAUCUGCAAAUAACUUUCUUCAAUACCAUGAAGAAAAUAAGUAAGCUUCAUUCACAACUACCGUUUCCUGGGUAUUCAGUGAGGUUAAUGGGAGACAAUGACUUUAGACAUGGAGGAUAGAAGCUGAUGGAGAAGAGAGUUACUUCCUUCUGUUAACAAUAGACCAGAAAUAGGAGGCAGUAAAGUCUGUAUGCAUGCAUAAACAUGAGUGGGGUGUGUUUAUGUGUGUGUGUGUGUGUGAUUUUAGGUAGAAAUGGCACAUAAGCAACACAUGCAUGGAAAAAAAGCAUGGAUUGUGAUAUCAGACAAACUACGGCUCAAAUAUUCACUCUCACAUUUACCAUGUGAUCUUGAUCAAGGGAGGCAACCUCUCUCAGCCUCGCUUUCUUCAUGUCUAUUGUGAGGAUAACAAGUUAUCAAUCACUUACAUGGAACUUUGGUGUGCACAUGGAGCAAGAUAGAGA